CCCCCAACUAUCCCUAUUAAUCAUUACGGUGAUUCAGAAACCAACAAAACAGGACCCCCGUCCUAUUUUAUUAUUCCAUGAUAAUGUAUUCAGACAUAAGCCUGCUUUGAACACUAUAAUUUUUUCAAGGUAAAGGUCCUGGUUUCCCACCACACUAAAUUAAUAACAUGAUGGUUCCCCAGAAGGUAGAAAUUGUACACGCCAGUACAGACAAAGCCCGACCAACGGUAGAACCCCCAAAUUCAACUACG
rnacentral:rRNA from 1 species